GGUGAUAUGAACCGUUAUAACCGGCGAUACCCGAAUGGGGAAACCCAGUGUGAUUCGUCACACUAUCAUUAACUGAAUCCAUAGGUUAAUGAGGCGAACCGGGGGAACUGAAACAUCUAAGUACCCCGAGGAAAAGAAAUCAACCGAGAUUCCCCCAGUAGCGGCGAGCGAACGGGGAGGAGCCCAGAGCCUGAAUCAGCAUGUGUGUUAGUGGAAGCGUCUGGAAAGGCGCGCGAUACAGGGUGACAGCCCCGUACACAAAAGCGCAUGUGCUGUGAGCUCGAUGAGUAGGGCGGGACACGUGGUAUCCUGUCUGAAUAUGGGGGGACCAUCCUCCAAGGCUAAAUACUCCUGACUGACCGAUAGUGAACCAGUACCGUGAGGGAAAGGCGAAAAGAACCCCGGCGAGGGGAGUGAAAAAGAACCUGAAACCGUGUACGUACAAGCAGUGGGAGCACCCUUUGGGGUGUGA
rnacentral:rRNA from 1 species